rnacentral:rRNA from 1 species
AUUGAACGCUGGCGGAAUGCUUUACACAUGCAAGUCGAACGGCAGCACGGGGGCAACCCUGGUGGCGAGUGGAGAACGGGUGAGUAAUACAUCGGAACGUGCCCAGUCGUGGGGGAUGACGUAGCGAAAGCUACGCUAAUACCGCAUACGAUCUACGGAUGAAAGCGGGGGAUCGCAAGACCUCGCGCGAUUGGAGCGGCCGAUGGCAGAUUAGGUAGUUGGUGGGGUAAAGGCUCACCAAGCCGACGAUCUGUAGCGGGUCUGAGAGGACGACACGCCACACUGGGCCGGAGACACGGGCCAGACUCCUACGGGAGGCAGCAGUGGUGAAUUUUGGACAAUGGGCGCAAGCCUGAUCCAGCCAGUCCGCGUGCAGGAUGAAGGCCUUCGGGUUGUAAACUGCUUUUGUACGGAACGAAAAGGCUCUUUCUAAUACAGAGGGCUCAUGACGGUACCGUAAGAAUAAGCACCGGCUAACUACGUGCCAGCCGCCGCAGUAAAAC